GAACGAACGCUGGCGGCAUGCCUAACACAUGCAAGUCGAACGGGAUCCUAGCUUGCUAGGUGAGAGUGGCGGACGGGUGAGUAACACGUGGGAAUCUGCCUUUUGGUUCGGGAUAACCGCGGGAAACUGCGGCUAAUACCGAAUGCCCUCGAGAGAGGAAAGAUUUAUCGCCAGAAGAGGAGCCCGCGUCCGAUUAGCUAGUUGGUGAGGUAAUGGCUCACCAAGGCGACGAUCGUUAGCUGGUCUGAGAGGACGAUCAGCCACACUGGGACUGAGACACGGCCCAGACUCCUACGGGAGGCAGCAGUGGGGAAUAUUGGACAAUGGGGGCAACCCUGAUCCAGCCAUGCCGCGUGAGUGAUGAAGGCCUUCGGGUUGUAAAGCUCUUUGGCGGGGACGAUGAUGACGGUACCCGCAGAAUAAGCCCCGGCUAACUUCGUG
rnacentral:rRNA from 1 species